UACGUAGGGGGCUAGCGUUGUCCGGAAUCAUUGGGCGUAAAGCGCGCGUAGGCGGCCCAGUAAGUCCGUUGUAAAAGUCAAAGGCUCAACCUUUGAAAGCCGAUGGAUACUGCUGGGCUAGAGUCCGGAAGAGGCGAGUGGAAUUCCUGGUGUAGCGGUGGAAUGCGCAGAUAUCUGGAGGAACACCGGUGGCGAAGGCGGCAUCCUGGACCGGCAUUGACGCUGAGGCGCGAAAGCCAGGGGAGCAAACGGG
rnacentral:rRNA from 1 species